AAGUCGUAACAAGGUUUCCGUAGGUGAACCUGCGGAAGGAUCAUUAACACGUAUCCAACGUUAAACCCCCCUGUGAACUGUAUAUCGUGCUCUUGGAUCCCCCCAAGUCAGCAAUCUCUGGUAAAUCAUUGUCGAACAGCUUUUGAUUCAGAGACUUCUGCCUUCGACUGGGUGACUGCGGAAGCUAACGGUCCAAUCGAGCGCUGGGAUCAGUGGUUUGGUUUCCCCUCAAACCACUUCAAUGAAUGACAGCGUCAUUGAAGUGUGAUGGGGAGGUCGAAUAACGCACGCUAGAGGUCCCCCACGGGCCGGCGUCCAAAUCACCGAGCGCAAGCUCCCCUAAAACCACAUGUCAGCGUAGGCCCUUCUGUCGUGGUUGAGCGUAAAAACGAACAACUGUUAACAAUGGAUAUCUUGGUUCUC
rnacentral:misc_RNA from 1 species